rnacentral:misc_RNA from 1 species
GUAAUUAUUAUGUAUAAUUCAGACGCUGAUUGAAGAUUUAAAAGGUUAUAGUUUUUGUCCAAUCGGCGAGCAAGCCCGCCGAGGAAACAAUAGGUGCGCAAAAAAACAAGGGUAUAAACAAGUAGCUAGGCUACUGAAUGUAAUGAUCCUUCCGCAGGUUCACCUACGGAAA